GACAGAGGUCCCGAGCGUUAGGCGGAAUCACUGGGCUUAAAGCGUGUGUAGGCGGAUCGUUAAGUGCCCUUGUGAAAAUCCCACGGCUUAACCGUGGAACUGCUUGGGCAUACGUGGCGGUCUUGAGCCACUUAGGGGCAACCGGAACAAAUGGUGGAGCGGUGAAAUGCGUAGAUAUCAUUUGGAACGCCAAUGGUGAAAACAGGUUGCUGGGAGUGUGCUGACGCUGAGACACGAAAGCCAGGGGGAGCGAACGGGG
rnacentral:rRNA from 1 species